rnacentral:misc_RNA from 1 species
GUACACCAGUCGUCAUCAAAAACAGAGGUACCGUGCAAAAGUGCUAUUCGGCCGAAAGGUACAGACAUUACCCGGAAAGAUCGGUGACAUACAAUGCUGAACAAAGAGGCUGAGGAAGAUGACUUUAUAAAUCUCUUCGGGAAACAGUAUGGAUAUGGAAAUAAAAUUGAUCAAAUAAGAAAACAAGAAUUUAAACGACUGGAAGGUAUUACAUAUCUUGAUCAUGCUGGGACAACACAGUAUCCACAGAGUGUUAUUGCAAAUGUUUACAGUGACUUGAGUUACAAUGUGUAUGGAAAUCCACACAGUAGGAACCCAAGCAGUCAGCUGUCAAGUGAUGUCAUUGACCAAGUCCGCACAAGGAUUUUAAAACAUUUUAAUACAUCUUCAGAACAACACACUGUGAUUUUCACUUCUGGUGCUACUGCUGCAUUGAAACUUUUGGCUGAAAGCUUUGAUUGGAAGGGAGCCACCAGUGAAGGAAGUGCUCAUCAAAGUCAUUUUUGUUAUCUGCAAGAGAAUCACACAUCAGUGGUUGGUAUGAGAGAAAUAGCUGCUUCAAGAGGGGCCCAAAUUAGUUCUGUUAAUGAAAAAGACUUGGAAGAACAAAUCAUCUUUACAACAGAAGAGAAAAGGGAGGAUUCAGAUCUAAAACCAUUUGAUUCUGGGAGCAAUGGUGUCAGAGAGACUGUUGACUGUUGCCACAAUUUAUUUGCUUUCCCUGCAAUGUGUAAUUUCUCAGGGAAGAAGUAUUCUCUUAAAUGGAUUUCUCAAGUUAAACAGGGAUUGUUAGUCAAAAAGAGUCAUUGGUGCCAUUGGUGCCAUUGGUUUGUUCUUUUGGAUGCAUCUUCAUUUGUGAGCACUUCUCCAUUGGACUUAGCAUCUUGUCCAGCAGAUUAUAUUCCCAUUUCUUUCUACAAGAUGUUUGGUUUUCCUACUGGUUUAGGUGCUCUUAUUUUAAAGAAUAGUAGUUCUUAUUUACUACAAAAGUGUUAUUAUGGUGGAGGAACAGUGCAAGCAACAAUUACUGAUGAAAGGUUUCAUAUCCUUAAGAACAAUCUCACUGAAAAGUUUGAAGAUGGCACAGUUCCUUUUCUUGAGAUCAUUGCUUUGCAUCAUUCCUUUCAAUUGUUUGAACAGCUGGUAGGAUCAAUGAAAGAUGUGUUGAAUCACACCCAUAGCAUUGCUUUGUAUGUGUAUGAAAAGAUGUCUGCAAUGACACAUAGUUCUGGAAAAUCUGUAUGUAAAAUUUACUGCGAAACAGACUUUCAGGACAACACAAAGCAGGGCCCUGUUAUAAACUUUAACCUGCUAAGAGCAAAUGGAGAGUUUGUUGGCUACGGUGAGGUAGAAAAGAUGGCUAGCCUUUACAAUAUUCACCUAAGGACAGGCUGUUUUUGUAACAUGGGGGCAUGUCAGAAGUAUCUGAGCCUUUCCAGUCAGCAAGUGAAGAAAAAUUUGUCUGUGGGUCAUGUGUGUGGGGAUAAUAUGGAUCUCAUUGAUGGCAAACCCACUGGCUCUGUGAGAAUCUCAUUUGGUUACAUGUCUAACUUUUCAGAUGCAAAAGAACUUCUAACAUUCAUUAGAGAAUGCUUCCUGGAGGGUAAUUCAAGCCGCUCUUUACCUGAAAGAUCUUUAGAUGCAGAGAGAUCUGAACAUACUGAGUUUCUUUCCAGCUCCAUUUUGGUUAAGCAAUCUGAAGACUUUGCUUCAAAUGCAAAUUUUAAAAACGUUAUGGAGCGGAAUUCAACAGUGGCAUCAACUGUAAGUCAGAGAGGUACUCCAAUUGAAAUGUCUAUCAGAACUCUGACACCUAAUCAUUGUGACAUGCACACACAUGUGCCUCAAGAAUGUGGUGAUAAUCCAAAUAACCAUCUAGAGUUGGAAAAGAUCUGCUUGUAUCCAAUCAAGUCUUGUGCUGCAUUUGAGGUACAUGAGUGGGAAGUUGGUAACAGAGGAUUUGUUUUUGAUCGUCAUUGGAUGAUUGUGACUGACUCUGGGGUUUGUCUGACACAGAAGAGAGAAGCAAAGAUGUGUCUGAUAAAACCUCUGUUGGAUCUUAGAAAUGGAACACUAUCAGUCACAGCGACAGGAAUGCCUGAUCUAGUGUUACCACUGUACCUAUCGUCAGGGAAUGAUAAAAAGGUUGCAAGAUUUUGUCAAAGUAAAGUCUGUGGUGACAGGAUCUCAGCUGUGGACUGCGGAGAGAACGCUGCCUCGUGGAUGUCAACAUUUUUUAACAGAAACUGUCGACUAAUUCAACAAGACAUGGACGAUAGCCGCACUUGUAAACUGGGAGGAAUGAAACAGCGAGAAGAUAACAGAAGUAGGUCUCUUUCUCUUGCUAAUGAAUCGCAGUUCCUCCUGGUGAACCGGGAAAGUGUCAGUGAACUUCUGAACAAUGUUAAUCAAGACCAACCUUUAACUCCAUCAUCUUUGGUUACUGUGGUGUAUCGGAGAUUCUUUGCCUCUGCCUACGAGAACAAGAUUUACGUGUAGUCCUAAAAUCAGACACGACACCCAGCUCAUCCCAAUAACAUCAAUAGGGAUCACGGCGUGGAUGACCAUGGAUCUCAUUUGCUGAUUAAAAGCAGUAUUAUGGUCAAAACCAUGGAAUAUAUUUUGUAGAUAAAAACGACCUCGGUAAGGAAGGUGGAAAAACAAGCCAAAAGGUUUAGACCCAAUUUAAUUGUAGCUGGUGGAGAGGCGUUCAGGGAAGACUACUGGAAAACUGUGAAAAUUGGAAAUUUGGUUUUCGAG